rnacentral:misc_RNA from 1 species
AACAAGGCGUACCUGCGGACCUGCGGAGGGAUCAUUACCGAGUGUGGCCCCCUUUCUAAGAGGGGUACCUCCCGUCCUUUGCAGGCCCUUUUUUAAGGGGCUUUUUGACUUUGCUUCGGCGGGUUCAACCCCCCGCCGGAACACCCUCAAGAAAAUCUUUUAAUAAACUUUUGUUGUCCGAGUUUACUUGCGAAUAAAUCAAAACUUUUAACAACGGAUCU